rnacentral:rRNA from 1 species
CCUACGGGGGGCAGCAGUGGGGAAUAUUGCGCAAUGGGCGAAAGCCUGACGCAGCGACGCCGCGUGAGGGAUGAAGGUCUUCGGAUCGUAAACCUCUGUCAGCAGGGAAGAACGGUCACUGUGCUAAUCAGCAGUGAAUUGACGGUACCUGCAAAGGAAGCACCGGCUAACUCCGUACCAGCAGCCGCGGUAAUACGGAGGGUGCGAGCGUUAAUCGGAAUUACUGGGCGUAAAGCGCUCGUAGGCGGUAUGUCAAGUCAAGGGUGAAAUCCCCGCGCUCAACGUGGGAACUGCCUUUGAAACUGGCAGACUGGAGUGUGUGAGAGGAUAGUGGAAUUACAGGUGUAGGAGUGAAAUCCGUAGAUAUCUGGAGGAACAUCAGUGGCGAAGGCGACUAUCUGGCACAUAACUGACGCUGAGGAGCGAAAGCGUGGAUAGCAAACAGGAUUAGAUACCCGUGUAGUC